AGAAUGGAUGUUUUUUAAAAUUAGUUACAGAACACACAUACAGGCUAGUACAUAAAUAUAUGUAGUUGGCUCUCCAUAUCCACAGAAUCCACAUCAGUAGAAAGGUUGAAAACAUUCCCCUAAAAAUGUGAUGUUGCUGAUGUACUGUGUAGUUAUAUCUACUAUAGUUAUAUCUAUAUUAAACAUGUAUAAACGUUUUUCUUGUUAUUCCCUAAACCCGUGGUCACCAAACUUUGCUCUCAAGCCACAUGCGGCUCUUUGGCCCCUUGAGUGUGGUUCUUCCACAAAAUACCAUGGCCUGGGUGAGUCUAUUUUGAAGAAGUGGCAUUAGAAGUUUAAAAAAUUUGGCUCUCAAAAGAAAUUUCAAUUGUUGUACUGUUGAUAUUUGACUCUGUUGACUAAUGAGUUUGCUGACCACUGCCCUAAACAAUACAGUAUAACAACUAUUUACAUGGUAUGUAAUUGUAUUGGGUGUUAUAAGUAAUCAAGAGGUGGUUUAAAAUGUAUGAGAGGAACUCUAGCUAGUUUGGCUCAAUGGAUAGAGUGCCGGCCUGUGGACUCAAGGGUCUCGGGUCCAGUUGCAGUCAAGGACAUGUACCUCGAUGCAAGCUCGAUCCCCUACCCUGGUUGCUGUGCAGGUAGGAGGUAACCAAUCAAUGUGUCUCUCUCACAUCCACGUUUCUCUGUCUCAUGCUCCCUUCUAUUCUCUCUACUAAAAAUCAGUGGAAAGAUAUCCUUGGAUGAGGAUUAACCAAAAAGUAAAAAUAUGUAUGAGAGGACGUGCAUCGGCUAUAUGUAAAUACUGCACUUUUUUAUGUAAGGACCUUGUGUCUGUGGAUUUUGGUAUGCACAGGGGUUCCUGGAACCAAGCCCUGGUGGAUACCAAGGGAUUGCAUAUUGUUUAAGAAGUAAUUAUAAAUUCAUCUAUAUUAUCACCAUCCAUAUUGCAAAACUAGUGUUGCUAGCAACUCAGGCCCUUUGCCCCACAUGUUUUAUGUCAGUCACACCUACUGCCCACCCUCGCAACCACUCAGGUUCUAAUGGUCUGACUUAAUGUGAGUUUACCACACAUGCAUGCAUCCUGAUCGCCUUAGCUCAGGUUUGCCUGUUUUGAACUUGAUGCAAUUAGAGUCCUCCAGAACAAGUCCUGCAUCUGGCUGCUUCCACUGAGCACUGGAUUAAUGAGGUCCAGCCAUUUUCUGUGGCUCAGUUUUUAUCUGUUUUCCUGUAACAGACGUUUGGGUUUCUCUCCUUCAGUACUUUAUUGGCACACAGCUGUAUAAUUUUUACGAUUGGGUAGCUUCAGUUUUAACAUCUAUACAAUAGAUGUAUUUAUAGGGUUGUUUAGGUUGUUACUGGUGAUCGCUACCACCAUGUGGUAGUUGCUAUGCUAUAAGCUUUGCAUGUAUUAACUCACUUAAAUGCUGUAUUGUCCUUGUGAGGUAGAUAUGGUUGCAAUUGCCCCAUUUUGCAAGGGAAAAAACUGAUAGACAGGAUUUAAAUUAAUAAGUCCAUGGUCACUCAACAGGAAAGUUUAAACCCAGGCAUUAUGGUUCCAGAUCCCUAAACCACUAUUUGAGACUUCUCUCUAUACUCAUUUACUGGUAUUUGUGAAUCAGUUAACAGUAUCUUAUCUUAUUGGGUGGUUGUGAAAAUUAACUGUCCUUGUUGACAGAGCAGGAAAGUAGGGUCAGGGAGGUCAUGUAGCCAGAGAAUCUGUGGUUGGCAUUGGAGCCCAGGCAUGUAUAGUUCCCAGACUCUGUGCCAAAGCAGUGUGUACCCUGCCUCACACCUGGUGAGGCUUCUGGGGCCUGGAGGUGCCACCUGUUGCUGUGUCUCUUGUUUCCCU